GGGGUUAUAGCUCAGUGCUAGAGCACUUGCCUAGUGUGUAGGAGGCCCUGGGUUCAAUUCCCGGUACCACCU
rnacentral:tRNA from 2 species